AUUGAACGCUGGCGGCAGGCCUAACACAUGCAAGUCGAGCGGCAGCGGGAAAGUAGCUUGCUACUUUUGCCGGCGAGCGGCGGACGGGUGAGUAAUGCCUGGGGAUCUGCCCAGUCGAGGGGGAUAACAGUUGGAAACGACUGCUAAUACCGCAUACGCCCUACGGGGAAAGCAGGGACCGUUCGGGCCUUGCGCGAUUGGAUGAACCCAGGUGGGAUUAGCUAGUUGGUGAGGUAAUGGCUCACCAAGGCGACGAUCCCUAGCUGGUCUGAGAGGAUGAUCAGCCACACUGGAACUGAGACACGGUCCAGACUCCUACGGGAGGCAGCAGUGGGGAAUAUUGCACAAUGGGGGAAACCCUGAUGCAGCCAUGCCGCGUGUGUGAAGAAGGCCUU
rnacentral:rRNA from 1 species